UUAUGUGUGCCCCAGGAUGGCAGGACUAGAUCCCAGGCUCACAACUGUGGAGGUACAAAAGAUUUUUUCAGUGCUGCUUGAGGACCUGAGACCACAAGAAAUGUUUAUUGGAAGCCCCAAAGAGAUUUAAUUACAGUAGUGAGGAAUUCAACAGGUCCUGGCCUGUUUAUUUCUAGUUGCAAAGGCAAUGAACAUUAUUUUUGUCAUGGCUUUAGUUGUGCCUCAAUUGUGCUGUCUGGGUCCUUGACAGGAGUAGGAUCUUGUGUAAGGUUUUUUGGUUUGGUUUGGUUUGGUUUGGUUUGGUUUGGUUUGGUUUUUUUGUAACCCUAUUGUAGUGAAUGUCACUGAGUCUGGCAAAAAGGUUAGAGAAGACUGGUUUAAAGGAAGGACUUGGGGAUUUAGAAUAUAAAAAACUGGUUAUGAUGAAGGAUUACUCUUUAAGCUUAAAAUUGCACCUAUGCCUUUUUCAGUAGGACCUAAAAAGAUCAUAAAUAAGGCCAAAAAGAGGAACAACAGAGAUAAAGAGAAGAAUAAUGCUAAUAGAAAUAGGAGUAAUACUGCUUUCUUACUUUCUUCUCCAGGGUCUGGUACCCCUCAUAGUCCUACAGUUGCCACCACUACCUUUUCUACAUUUGCUACUCAGCUAACAGAAUUAAUGGUAGGCAGGUUUCAUAUGCUUAAUGAUACUUAUCCUAAUAUCACUAACUCUUGUUGGCUUUGCUAUGAUAUAGCUCCUCCUUACUAUGAAGGUAUUGCUUAUUAUCCAGCAAUGUUUCUUAUUCUAAUAGCUCUUGUGGUUUUCGAUGGAAACAGAAAUCUAGCAUAGGUCUUCCUCUACAUGAAGUUUCUGGACUAUGUACCUGCAUAGUGAAAAAUUCAUAAAGAUAAAAGACAGAGUUUAUGUAAUCAAAUGCUUACUGUUUCCACCUCUUCAUCUUAUUUUAUUUCUCCAAAAGAGGGAUAGUGAGUUUGUUCCAUAGGUCUUACCCCCUGCAUUCACACAUAAGUAUUUGAUAGCUCCAAAGAUUUUUGUGUGUUGGUUCAACUUAUUCCUAGACUCAUUUAUCAUCCUUAUGAGGUGCUCUUGGAUCAUUGGGAUGGAGACUUCUCUCGAUCCAAGAGAGAACUUGCUAUUGCAUUAACUAUUUCAGUACUGAUGGGGCUCAGUAUGGGAGGAGCAGCUACGGGCACUUCUGCCUU
ensembl:antisense